rfam:Triticum aestivum genome assembly, contig: Triticum_aestivum_CS42_TGACv1_scaffold_179626_2DS
UUAGUACUCCCUCCGUCCCAAAAAUACUUGUCGGAGAAAUGGAUAGAAAUAGAUGUAUCUACAACUAAAAUACAUCUAGAUACAUCCAUUUGUCCGACAAAUAUUUCCGAACGGAGGGAAUACUAC